UAUGACGUUAGCGGCGGACGGGUGAGUAACACGUGGGCAACCUGCCUGUAAGACUGGGAUAACUCCGGGAAACCGGAGCUAAUACCGGAUAACAUUUUCUCUUGCAUAAGAGAAAAUUGAAAGAUGGUUUCGGCUAUCACUUACAGAUGGGCCCGCGGUGCAUUAGCUAGUUGGUGAGGUAACGGCUCACCAAGGCAACGAUGCAUAGCCGACCUGAGAGGGUGAUCGGCCACACUGGGACUGAGACACGGCCCAGACUCCUACGGGAGGCAGCAGUAGGGAAUCUUCCGCAAUGGACGAAAGUCUGACGGAGCAACGCCGCGUGAGUGAUGAAGGCUUUCGGGUCGUAAAACUCUGUUGUUAGGGAAGAACAAGUACAAGAGUAACUGCUUGUACCUUGACGGUACCUAACCAGAAAGCCACGGCUAACUACGUGCCAGCAGCCGCGGUAAUACGUAGGUGGCAAGCGUUAUCCGGAAUUAUUGGGCGUAAAGCGCGCGCAGGCGGUUUCUUAAGUCUGAUGUGAAAGCCC
rnacentral:rRNA from 2 species